CAAUUAGUUUGGUGGCACCAUACCUCCCACAAGCUUAAUACUACAUAGAAAAUAUAUAUAUUGUGACAAAAACAUGUUGAAACACACAAGUAAUUAACCAUAUACUUGUAUUAAUUUACAAAUUAUGCCAUUAUGUUUACCACCAACAAGAGUCGAAAUGUUUUCGUUCGCAGUAUAUAGAAUUUUUACUAUAUUUCCCCUUCAAAUGUGCAUAUAUUCCAAAAGUAUUGUAUAAACCAUUUCGAUAUAUUUCCAACCAAAUAUGCAUAAUCCAGAAGUAAAACCCAUUUUUGCAAAACAAUAUUUCAUCAUAAUAAGAUGUGGAUACCCAAUGUCCUCAUCUACCAUUCUUCUUAUCUUCUUGCUCAAGGAGGUUAAACUAGGACAGAAUCUCCUUACCAGAGAUACGAACAUUAAUCCACAUCUUCACAUAUCUACAGUACAGAACAACCAUCACGGACAGAUAUGAAGGGAGCAAUUGGUUAACAUAUCCGAACCAACACAAUUUACAGUAAGAAAAAAGUCAUAACUAAAGAAAACGAAAGCUCGUUCAUUCCAAGGUUUUAAGNNNNNNNNNNNNNNNNNNNNNNNNNNNNNNNNNNNNNNNNNNNNNNNNNNNNNNNNNNNNNNNNNNNNNNNNNNNNNNNNNNNNNNNNNNNNNNNNNNNNAGAAGUUUAAUAUUUUAUGGAACUAAAAUUUUUACAUGUUUUGUUAUAUGCAUCUAAAUCACACCCAAAAUACUGUAUUAUGUAAAAAUUUUAGUUCUAUAAAAUAUUAAACUUUUUUUUUUAGUAGUGUUAAAAAAAAAGCAAAAAAAAAAAGAGACCAUUUUAGUAGCGUUCGGGAGUCCGGACUGAAACCGAACUAUAUAUAUAUAUAUAUAUUGUGACAAAAACAUGUUGAAACACACAAGUAAUUAACCAUAUACUUGUAAUAAUUUACAAAUUAUGCCAUUAUGUCUACUACCAACAAGAGUCGAAAUGUUUUCGUUCGCAAUAAAUAGAAUUUUUACUAUAUUUCCCCUUCAAAUAUGCAUUUUCCAAAAGUAUGUAAAACCCAUUUCGAUAUAUUUCCAACCAAAUAUGCAUAAUCCAGUAGUAUGUAAAACCCAUAUGAAGGGAGCAUUACAUAUCUACAGUACAGAACAACCAUCACGGUCAGAUAUGAAGGGAGCAAUUGGUUAACAUAUCUGAACCAACACAAUUUACAGUAAGAAAAAAGUCGUAACUAAAGAAAACGAAAGCUCGUUCAUUCCAAGGUUUUAAGCAGCCUAAACAAGCCAGCUGCCUCCCUAAUCCUUGAGAACUCGAUACAGAAGGCUUGCACUUCUAUGAAAAGAUCAUGAACUGCAAUGCACAACCCCAUUUGGAAAUUGUUAGUAAAUUUGCAACUACAAUCAUUCUCACGACACAGUUCAUUUUCCUUUAUUUAAAGGCGGUAUUAGCAUAAUUGCCAUCUAGAUUUUCAAGGUGGAGAGUAAAUCUGUAAAUGAUUGUGAUACGAAAUAUUAAAUUUCAUUUAACAGUCGGAUAACAUAUAAAUUUCCUGGUUCCAAGUUUUCACAAUAUCGUUUAAAGUAGUUCCUUAAUGAGCAUCAGAACUGAUGAUUCAAUUAAUUGCCAAACUGACUCUUAAUGAUUAAUACAUGUUGCUUCAACUUUAUCAACAAGUAGCCAGUUAAAGGAAUCUAAUAAUUACUCCAUAUCCACUAGCAAACAGAGUUUGAUAAGGCGUUUCUUGUUUUCCACUUAACACAUAAUUUAGCAUCUGUACAUACUGAUUAGGUAAGGUGCAUGUGAUUGCCUCAAAUUAUCUCUUAUUUUCAAUUGUCAGUUACUAGACGGGGAAUAGUUCACAAUGCCUAGAGUAGUCAAAAGUUGUACUUUGAGAUAUUACAAGAUCUAACAAACUGCAUGGAGAAACAUGCUCCAUUCAUGUACGGCUUUGUGCCAGGAAUCUUAUCCUAUACACUUCCUCGAUGCUCUUGCCUUUUUCUGCUCAGAUACUUGCAUGUACCAUACAUGUAAUUGGGAUUUUAAACAGAGUAAUAAGUAGAAUGCCU
rnacentral:lncRNA from 1 species